GACAGAGGUGCCGAGCGUUAGGCGGAAUCACUGGGCUUAAAGCGUGUGUAGGCGGAUUCCUAAGUACCUUGUGAAAUCCCAUGGCUCAACUAUGGAACUGCUUGGUAUACUGGGUGUCUUGAGCCAGCUAGGGGCUACCGGAACAAAUGGUGGAGCGGUGAAAUGCGUAGAUAUCAUUUGGAACGCCAAUGGUGAAAACAGGUAGCUGGGGCUGUGCUGACGCUGAGACACGAAAGCCAGGGGAGCGAACGGG
rnacentral:rRNA from 1 species